CAGCAGCCGCGGGAACACGUAGGUGGCAAGCGUUGUCCGGAAUUAUUGGGCGUAAAGGGCUCGCAGGCGGUUUCUUAAGUCUGAUGUGAAAGCCCCCGGCUCAACCGGGGAGGGUCAUUGGAAACUGGGAAACUUGAGUGCAGAAGAGGAGAGUGGAAUUCCACGUGUAGCGGUGAAAUGCGUAGAGAUGUGGAGGAACACCAGUGGCGAAGGCGACUCUCUGGUCUGUAACUGACGCUGAGGAGCGAAAGCGUGGGGAGCGAACAGGAUUAGAGACCCGUGUAGUCCCUGUCUCUUAUAC
rnacentral:rRNA from 1 species